rnacentral:rRNA from 1 species
ACUCAAAGGAAUUGACGGGGGCCCGCACAAGCGGUGGAGCAUGUUGUUUAAUACGUCACUAACCGUAGAACCUUACCAGGGUUUGACAUGGCACGAAAUCCUAUGAAAGUAGGCUCUCCCGCAAGGGAGCGUGCACACAGGUGUUGCAUGGCUGUCGUCAGCUCGUGUCGUGAGAUGUUGGGUUAAGUCCCGCAACGAGCGCAACCCUCAUCCCAUGUUGCCAUCGGGUAAAGCCGGGAACUCUUGGGAAACUGCCCGUGUAAGCGGGAGGAAGGUGAGGACGACGUCAAGUCAGCAUGGCCCUUACAUCCUGGGCUACAAACAUGCUACAAUGGACGGUAGACAAAGGGGCGCAAGACCGCGAGGUGGAGCCGAUCCCAAAAAUCCGUUCUCAGUUCGGAUCGCAGGCUGCAACUCGCCUGCGUGAAGCUGGAAUCGCUAGUAACCGCAGGUCAGCUAAACUGCGGUGAAUACGUUCCCGGGCCUUGUACACACCGCCCGU